rnacentral:rRNA from 1 species
UGCUUACACAUGCAAGUCGAACGGUCUUUUCGGAGAUAGUGGCGGACGGGUGAGUAACGCGUAAGAAUCUACCUUCAGGUUGGGGACAACCACUGGAAACGGUGGCUAAUACCCAAUGUGCCGAGAGGUGAAAGGCUUGCUGCCUGAAGAAGAGCUUGCGUCUGAUUAGCUAGUUGGUGGGGUAAGAGCCUACCAAGGCGACGAUCAGUAGCUGGUCUGAGAGGAUGAUCAGCCACACUGGGACUGAGACACGGCCCAGACUCCUACGGGAGGCAGCAGUGGGGAAUUUUCCGCAAUGGGCGAAAGCCUGACGGAGCAAUACCGCGUGAGGGAGGAAGGCUCUUGGGUUGUAAACCUCUUUUCUCAGGGAAGAACAAAAUGACGGUACCUGAGGAAUAAGCAUCGGCUAACUCCGUGCCAGCAGCCGCGGUAAUACGGAGGAUGCAAGCGUUAUCCGGAAUGAUUGGGCGUAAAGGGUCCGCAGGUGGCAUUGUAAGUCUGCUGUUAAAGAGUUUGGCUCAACCAAAUAAAAGCAGUGGAAACUACAAAGCUAGAGUGUGGUCGGGGCAGAGGGAAUUCCUGGUGUAGCGGUGAAUGCGUAGAUAUCAGGAGGAACAUCGGUGGCGAAGGCGCUCUGCUAGGCCAAGACUGACACUGAGGGACGAAAGCUAGGGAGCGAAUGGGAUUAGAUACCCCAGUAGUCCUAGCCGUAACGAUGGAUACUAGGCGUAGCUCGUAUCGACCCGAGCUGUGCCGUAGCUAACGCGUUAA